GAAAGCCGAGACGGCGCGGGAUGGGGUCGCGGCCCAUUAGGUAGACGGCGGGGUAACGGCCCACCGUGCCCGCGAUGGGUAGCCGGACUGAGAGGUCGACCGGCCACAUUGGGACUGAGAUACGGCCCAGACUCCUACGGGAGGCAGCAGUGGGGAAUUUUGCGCAAUGGGGGGAACCCUGACGCAGCAACGCCGCGUGCGGGACGAAGGCCCUCGGGUUGUAAACCGCUUUCAGCAGGGAAGAUCCAAGACGGUACCUGCAGAAGAAGCUCCGGCUAACUACGUGCCAGCAGCCGCGGUAAUACGUAGGGGGCGAGCGUUAUCCGGAUUCAUUGGGCGUAAAGCGCGCGUAGGCGGCCGCCUAAGCGGGACCUCUAACCCCGGGGCUCAACCCCGGGCCGGGUCCCGGACUGGGCGGCUCGAGUGCGGUAGAGGAGAGCGGAAUUCCCGGUGUAGCGGUGGAAUGCGCAGAUAUCGGGAAGAACACCGAUGGCGAAGGCAGCUCUCUGGGCCGUCACUGACGCUGAGGCGCGAAAGCUGGGGGAGCGAACAGGAUUAGAUACCCUGGUAGUCCCAGCCGUAAACGAUGGGCGCUAGGUGUGGGGGGACGAUCCCUCCGUGCCGC
rnacentral:rRNA from 1 species